GUCAUUGGUCAUUGUGAGAGUCAGUAGCAGCAGAAUAUGCACAUUGGAUUGGUCAAGAAGAUACUGGAAUAUGCAAAUAAUUUUCAGUUACAGCUGCACCAAACACACACGAGGCUGGAGUCGGUUCAACUCACUGCGGUAUGGAACAAAAUACCUUCAUUUCAUCAAUGACACGAGCAGGACGACAACGUAUGAACUUAAUUAACAUCAUAUUGUAUCAUAUUAUGGCAAGAGAGUAACUGAACAAACAGGAGAAGGACCUAAACUGUCUCAGAGAACGCACGAGAGGUUUCUACACUCUUCAAUUGUGUUGGCUUAAAGGAUGUUCGUCUUCACGCUCUGCCUGUUCUUAUGGUCCUGGCUGUCAUCCAUUCACGGUCUGGAGUUUCGCUAUCAUGACAGCAUGGAAAUGGAGCAGUACUUGAAAGACAUCAACAGGACGCUUCCUGAUAUCACACAUCUACACAGUAUCGGCCAGUCCGUUGAAGGUAAGCCAGCUGUGGUGCAGCAUUACCCUGACAAUAUUUUCCUAGAUUUAUCAUCCAUGAGUUGAACUCUUCUCUGUCUGUAUGUAUUCCUAGCACACAGUGUUAUACUGUUUGAUGGCAGGCAUAUGGUGGCAGAUGCAUGCAACAGGUUCAAACUUAUUGCCUGGCAGUCCAUCAGAGAGCUUAUUGUGCAACAAAUAUUUUUAUGAGUCUACGAACAGCAUCAGCAGUACAGUGAGCCAAAUACAGCAGCAAGUUGAGAGAGUGCUUCUUGGGGGGGGGGGGACUGAACUAGGGGAGUUAAUUUGUGUAUUUAUUUAUGCAUGCAUAAAGUGGUUAGUUCUUCUGGUUAUGUAAUUUGAUUGGCCUGGUAUACAGUCCCUCAGCAAUGGGACUUCUCACUGUUUAUAUUGUCUGUGUUUGCAAGUUAAAGACAGAAUGUGAAUCUGUGUAUUAAGACGUGGUCACACUAGACUUGUGAGCAUGUGACUUUUUUUUGUUGUUGUUGGUGUUUUAUUUAUUGGUUUACAAAGAUAG